UUGCGCCUGUGACGGGUCAGGCACGUCCCUUGGAGGCUUCGCAGGCAGCCGGACGGUGUACGGCCUUGUAAAUCCCUGAAUUUUCAGGGAUUUAACGGAUUC
rnacentral:sRNA from 1 species